AUGAUUGUCGGUUUAUUUAUGGUUUCUCCUUUUCACGGAUUGUGUAUUUAGGACUUACAUUUAAUGAUCAUUUAAUAGAAAAUGGCAAUAUAAGUCUCACUUUUGACCUCGAAUAGAAAGAGAUUAAACCAUAUUUUAAGUGUAAGGAACUGAUAAAUAUACGAUAAAGACUCAGAGCAGCAGGUAUUGCUGCCUUUUCAUGUAACAAUUUUUG
rnacentral:lncRNA from 1 species